AGAAGGAGAGGUGGUCCUUAGAGACCUCAGAAGAGUAGAUGCUCCUGGAAACAAGGGUGGAACCUCUUAAAGAUGGAUUUGAUACCUCUGCCAACUAAAUCUACCAUGUUCCUGGAGUACAAAGAGUUAUACUUUAAAGGCUCAGCAGUUGCCACAGUCUAUUGUAUUUUUGGCCUCACACUGGUUGUAAUCACAGGAAUAAUAAAUGGCUUUGUGUCUGUG